UAUGGGCACAGAUUUGCCUUAGCCAUAGCUAUGCUAUGGACCCUCAGUCCGUUGCUACCCGGUGAGUGCUCGAUCGGUAUAAUCGGUAUUGCUUCUAAACGGUCUGUGCUUCGGAAGAACAUCUCAUAUUACAACACGUCUCAAACAGUCAAACGUUCUGCUGGCUGUAUCAAACAUUUAAUAUACAUCCGUAUGGAAUAGUCGAAAUAUGGAUAUAAAUCUGUGGAUUAAGAAGCAUUCUGUGCUGAUGAUGUGUUCAUGUGGUCUAGCAAAGAAUGGUUUUAAUUAAAGAAGUUAGUCAGAAUGGGUGAGGCAGACAGGCAGAGCAGAGCAAAGAAGAUAGUGAAAAGGAAUGCUAUGUGCAAACAGAUAAAGGAUGAAAUCAUGAAAAAUGGCAUGCAAAGAAAAAUAAAAAUGAACUUGAUAAGUGUUGUUCUUGAAAUACAUCGAUGAAUGUGCGGAGGGUAAUCCAUGUGGUUUCAAUACGAAUUGUAUGAACACUAAUGGUUCUUACACGUGCGAGUGUUUAUCUGGGUUUG
rnacentral:lncRNA from 1 species